GAGGGUACAGCUCAGCGGUAGAGCGCAUGCUUAGCAUGCACAAGGCCCCGGGUUCAAUCCCCAGUAGCUCCA
rnacentral:tRNA from 1 species